GAUGAAGAACGUAGCGAAAUGCGAUACGUAAUGUGAAUUGCAGAAUUCAGUGAAUCAUCGAGUCUUUGAACGCACAUUGCGCCCCCUGGUAUUCCGGGGGGCAUGCCUGUCCGAGCGUCAUUGCUACCCUCAAGCCCGGCUUGUGUGUUGGGUCUCGUCCCCCUUCCCGGGGGGACGGGCCCGAAAGGCAGCGGCGGCACCGUGUCCGGUCCUCGAGCGUAUGGGGCUUUGUCACCCGCUCUGUAGGCCCGGCCGGCGCUUGCCGAUCAACCAAAACUUUUUUCCAGGUUGACCUCGGAUCAGGUAGGGAUACCCGCUGAACUUAAGCAUAUCAAAAGCGGAGGA
rnacentral:misc_RNA from 1 species